rnacentral:rRNA from 1 species
AUUGAACGCUGGCGGCAGGCCUAACACAUGCAAGUCGAACGAUUGCCGGAGGGGUGAGAAUUUUCUGGGAACUUGCCUGAUGGAGGGGGUUACUUACUGGAAACGGUAGUUAUAACCGCUAACCUUCAGUUGUGCCCAGAGGGGAUUAGCUUGUGGGUGGGGUACCGCCUCACCAAGGCGACGAUCCCUAGCUGGUCUGAGAGGAUGACCAGCCACACUGGAACUGAGACACGGUCCAGACUCCUACGGGAGGCAGCAGUGGGGAAUAUUGCACAAUGGGCGCAAGCCUGAUGCAGCCAUGCCGCGUGUAUGAAGAAGGCCUUCGGGUUGUAAAGUACUUUCAGCGGGGAGGCGUUACCCGCAGAAGAAGCACCGGCUAACUCCGUGCCAGCCGCCGCGGUAAUAC